rnacentral:rRNA from 1 species
GACGAACGCUGGCGGCGUGCUUAACACAUGCAAGUCGAACGGAAAGGCCUCUUUCGGGGGGUACUCGAGUGGCGAACGGGUGAGUAACACGUGAGUAACCUGCCCUUUACUUUGGGAUAACUUCAGGAAACUGGGGCUAAUACCGGAUAGGAGCUCCUGCUGCAUGGUGGGGGUUGGAAAGUUUCGGCGGUUGGGGAUGGACUCGCGGCUUAUCAGCUUGUUGGUGGGGUAGUGGCUUACCAAGGCUUUGACGGGUAGCCGGCCUGAGAGGGUGACCGGCCACAUUGGGACUGAGAUACGGCCCAGACUCCGACGGGAGGCAGCAGUGGGGAAUAUUGCACAAUGGGUGGAAGCCUGAUGCAGCACCGCCGUGGGCGGGAGGACGGCCUUCGGGUUGUAAACCGCUUUCGCUCAUGACGAAGCUUUGUGUGACGGUAGUGGGUAAAGAAGCACCGGCUAACUACGUG